rnacentral:lncRNA from 1 species
AAAGAACAGGGUCAUCCCAAGACGUCUCAGCCGACCUCAUAUCUCACGCAUUCCAUCCGCGUGCCCUCCCUCGCAUCCGUUUCUGGAUUUUCCCAGCAUUUCCCGCUCGAGUGAAUGAAUCCAUGUGAUUAUCACCUGCAUCCAAACAGAACAGAAUAACUUCUCCGAAAAUCAAGCACUUCAUCCACAUCGAGUCCAUCACGAUGCAUCAUCCUCCCCUGUUUCCACAACAAAACCAAGCACCUCUCCCAGCUUCUCCUGCUAGAUCCCCUCCACGUUGAUUCUCCCACGCCCAGAUCUCCUCAACAUCUUCAUCUCCACCUCGUUGAAGCAACUACUUCGCACCUCUUCUCCGCGAUUUGGCUUCAUCUUCCCUGUUAUCAGCUGAUAUCCAAACAUCCAUAUCAAAUCCCCUGUUUCGUGCGGAUGAAAACCAGAACCUACUUCUGGAACAACCUCAAGCAACCAUUCCGCGAAUCUCUUCUUCUUCUGCGAUAAGAUCAUCUCUUCUUCCCAGCUCAUCUCCCCACCCACGUCAUUUCGGAUGAACUUCUUCUCUCUUCCGAGUCUAACGAACAAAGCUUUGUUUCAGAACCAUUCCCAGCCGCUUAUGCAACUCAUUCUUAUUCCUUUUCUUCCGCGAUUCAACCUCAUCCUUUUCUCUGAAUCUUCCAGCUUCAUCCCCUAUUUUUCAGCUGCUAUCCCAACUCUCUCUUCGUUCGCAAGAUCAAACUCCUUCCGAUUUUUCUCAAUGGAUAAGCUCCCAGCCAUCAGCCGCUGAGAUCCUCUCAACGCCAACGUCUUCCUCUCAGACUUCACGGAAAGCAGAUCCAAACCAGCCAA